rnacentral:misc_RNA from 1 species
GAUGAAGAACGUAGCGAAAUGCGAUAAGUAGUGUGAAUUGCAGAAUUCAGUGAAUCAUCGAAUCUUUGAACGCACAUUGUGCCCCAUGGUAUUCCGUGGGGCAUGCCUGUUCGAGCGUCAUUUACCCCCUCAAGCUCCGCUUGGUGUUGGGCGUCUGUCCCGCUUCGCGCGCGGACUCGCCCCAAAGGUAUUGGCAGCGGUCGUGCCAGCUUCUCGCGCAGCACAUUGCGCUUCUCGAGGCACCGGUGGGCCCGCGUCCAUCAAGCUCACCCCCCCAGUUUGACCUCGGAUCAGGUAGGGAUACCCGCUGAACUUAAGCAUAUCAAUAAGCGGAGGA